UACGGGGGGAGCAAGCGUUGUUCGGAUUUACUGGGCGUAAAGGGCGCGUAGGCGGUCGUGACAAGUCACUUGUGAAAUCUCCGGGCUUAACUCGGAACGGUCAAGUGAUACUGUCGGACUAGAGUGCAGAAGGGGGCAACUGGAAUUCUCGGUGUAGCGGUGAAAUGCGUAGAUAUCGAGAGGAACACCUGCGGCGAAGGCGGGUUGCUGGGCUGACACU
rnacentral:rRNA from 1 species